rnacentral:rRNA from 1 species
GAUGAACGCUGGCGGCGUGCCUAAUACAUGCAAGUCGAGCGAACAGAUGAGGAGCUUGCUCCUCUGACGUUAGCGGCGGACGGGUGAGUAACACGUGGAUAACCUACCUAUAAGACUGGGAUAACUUCGGGAAACCGGAGCUAAUACCGGAUAAUAUAUUGAACCGCAUGGUUCAAUAGUGAAAGACGGUUUUGCUGUCACUUAUAGAUGGAUCCGCGCCGCAUUAGCUAGUUGGUAAGGUAACGGCUUACCAAGGCAACGAUGCGUAGCCGACCUGAGAGGGUGAUCGGCCACACUGGAACUGAGACACGGUCCAGACUCCUACGGGAGGCAGCAGUAGGGAAUCUUCCGCAAAGGGCGAAAGCCUGACGGAGCAACGCCGCGUGAGUGAUGAAGGUCUUCGGAUCGUAAAACUCUGUUAGUAGGGAAGAACAAAUGUGUAAGUAACUAUGCACGUCUUGACGGUACCUACUCAGAAAGCCACGGCUAACUACGUG